UACAGGGGGGGCAAGCGUUGCUCGGAAUGACUGGGCGUAAAGGGCGCGUAGGCGGUUUGUACAGUCAGACGUGAAAUUCCUGGGCUCAACCUGGGGCUGCGUUUGAUACGUGCAGACUUGAGUUCGGAAGAGGGUCGUGGAAUUCCCAGUGUAGAGGUGAAAUUCGUAGAUAUUGGGAAGAACACCGGUGGCGAAGGCGGCGACCUGGUCCGAUACUGACGCUGAGGCGCGAAAGCGUGGGGAGCAAACAGG
rnacentral:rRNA from 1 species